UAAUGGCCGAAAGUCUAAGGUUUUUGGAGGAAGGUUCGUCCGCUCCAAGUAAGAGUAAAGCUGAUCCGCUCCAAGUAAGUCGGGAGCUAAGGUCAGGCCGAAAGGCGUAGCCGAUGCACAAACGGUUGAUAUUCCGUUACCGUCUACAAUUUAAACAAAGGGACACAUACAAAGCGUUUAACCCGGGCGAUGGUUGACCCGGGCGCAAGGGACUGAAAUAAGAGUAGGGAAGUAAAUGUGGCGUAUGGCGAGAAAAGCUUUGUGAAUAGAAGUAGACGCCCGUACCGCAAACCGACACAGGUGGACAGGAAGAGAAUUCUAAGGCCAGCGGGAGAAGGGUAGUUAAGGAACUCGGCAAAUUGACUCCGUAACUUCGGAAUAAGGAGUGCUCGAAAGAGCCGCAGAGAAUAGGCCCAGGCGACUGUUUAGCAAAAACACAGGUCUCUGCCAAAUCGAAAGAUGAAGUAUAGGGGCUGACACCUGCCCGGUGCCGGAAGGUUAAGAGGAGGAGUGCAAGCUCCGAAUUGAAGCCCCGGUAAACGGCGGCCGUAACUAUAACGGUCCUAAGGUAGCGAAAUUCCUUGUCGGGUAAGUUCCGACCCGCACGAAUGGUGUAACGAUCUGGGCACUGUCUCAACUACCCACCCGGCGAAAUUGUAGUACCGGUGAAGAUGCCGGUUACCUGCGGCAAGACGGAAAGACCCCAUGGAGCUUUACUGUAGCCUGAUAUUGGGUUUCGGAAAUCUAUGUACAGGAUAGGCGGGAGACUGGGAAGUAUGAGCGUCAGCUUAUACGGAGUCAUUGUUGGGAUACCGCCCUUAGGUUUCUGGAAUUCUAACCUGCGACCGUGAAUCCGGUCGGGGGACAUUGUCAGGUGGGCAGUUUGACUGGGGCGGUCGCCUCCGAAAAGGUAACGGAGGCGCUCAAAGGUUGGCUCAGCACGGACGGAAACCGUGCCUCUGAGUGUAAACGCAAAAGCCAGCCUAACUGCGAGGAUGACGGUCCGAGCAGUAACGAAAGUUGGAGUUAGUGAUCCGGCGGUAUGUGAAUGGAAAUGCCGUCGCUCAACGGAUAAAAGCUACCCUGGGGAUAACAGGCUGAUCUCCCCCAAGAGUCCACAUCGACGGGGAGGUUUGGCACCUCGAUGUCGGCUCAUC
rnacentral:rRNA from 1 species